rnacentral:rRNA from 1 species
UACGGAAGGCAGCAGUGGGGAAUAUUGCACAAUGGGCGAAAGCCUGAUGCAGCUAUGCCGCGUGUAUGAAGAAGGCCUUAGGGUUGUAAAGUACUUUCAUCGGGGAGGAAAAAACAAAACUAAUAAUUUUAUUUCUUGACGUUACCGAAAAGAAAGCACCGGCUAACUCCGUGCCAGCAGCCGCGGUAAUACGGAGGGUGCUAGCGUUAAUCAGAAUUACUGGGCGUAAAGAGCACGUAGGUGGUUUUUUUAAGUUCAGAUGUGAAUCCCUGGGCUUAACCUAGGAACUGCAUUUUGAAACUGAAAUACUAGAGUAUCGUAGAGGGAGGUAGAAUUCUAGGUGUAGCGGUGAAAUGCGUAGAUAUCUGGAGGAAUACCUGUGGCGAAAGCGGCCUCCUAAACGAAUACUGACACUGAGGUGCGAAAGCGUGGGGAGCAAACAGGGAUUAGAUACC